UACGGAGGGGCGAGCGUUGUCCGAAGUUACUGGGCGUAAAGAGCUCGUAGGCGGUUCGUCGCGUCGGCUGUGAAAACCCGGAGCUCAACUCCGGGCCUGCAGUCGAUACGGGCGGACUUGAGUGUUGCAGGGGAGACUGGAAUUCCUGGUGUAGCGGUGAAAUGCGUAGAGAUCGGGAGGAACACCAGUGGCGAAGGCGGGUCUCUGGGCAAUAACUGACGCUGAGGAGCGAAAGCGUGGGGAGCGAACAGGA
rnacentral:rRNA from 1 species